rnacentral:rRNA from 1 species
GGACUACCAGGGUAUCUAAUCCUGUUUGCUCCCCUAGCUUUCGCAGAUCAGCGUCAGAGAUGGCCCAGUAACCUGCUUUCGCCAUAGGUAUUCCUCCCGAUAUCUACGCAUUUCACCGCUACACCGGGAAUUCCAGUUACCUCUGCCACUCUCUAGCCCGGUAGUUUCCUUUGACCUCUCCCAGUUAAGCCGGGAGCUUUCACAAAAGACUUACCGAACCGCCUACCUGCGCUUUACGCCUAGUGAUUCCGAGUAUCGCUUGCCACCUACGUAUUACCGCGGCUGCUGGCAC